rnacentral:rRNA from 1 species
CCUACGGGAGGCAGCAGUGGGGAAUAUUGGACAAUGGGCGCAAGCCUGAUCCAGCCAUGCCGCGUGAGUGAUGAAGGCCCUAGGGUUGUAAAGCUCUUUCAACGGUGAAGAUAAUGACGGUACCCGUAGAAGAAGCCCCGGCUAACUUCGUGCCAGCAGCCGCGGUAAU